rnacentral:rRNA from 1 species
UACGUAGGGUGCGAGCGUUAAUCGGAAUUACUGGGCGUAAAGUGUGCGCAGGCGGCAGAGCAAGUCGAGUGUGAAAGCCCCGGGCUUAACUUGGGAAUUGCAUUUGAGACUGCAUAGCUAGGGUGCGGAAGAGGGAAGCGGAAUUUCCGGUGUAGCGGUGAAAGUGCGUAGAGAUCGGCAGGAACACCCAGGGGGAAACCAGUCGACUGGGCAUCGUACUGACGCUGAGGUGCGAGAGCGUGGGGAGCGAACCGG